rnacentral:rRNA from 5 species
UAGCGCGGUGGUCCCACCUGACCCCAUGCCGAACUCAGAAGUGAAACGCCGUAGCGCCGAUGGUAGUGUGGGGUCUCCCCAUGCGAGAGUAGGA